UAUUGGUCAAUGGGCUUACGCCUGAACCAGCCAAGUCGCGUGAGGGAAGACUGCCCUAUGGGUUGUAAACCUCUUUUGCCAGGGAGCANNUGGCGCUAUGUGUAGCGUUAUCGAUAGUACCUGAAGAACAAGCAUCGGCUAACUCCGUGCCAGCAGCCGCGGUAAUACGGAGGAUGCGAGCGUUAUCCGGAUUUAUUGUGUUUACAGGGUGCGUAGGCGGAAUGCCAAGUCAGCGGUAAAAUCGCGGGGCUCAACCUCGCUCCGCCGUUGAAACUGGCGUUCUUGAGUGGGCAAGAAGUAUGCGGAAUGCGUGGUGUAGCGGUGAAAUGCAUAGAUAUCACGCAGAACUCCGAUUGCGAAGGCAGCAUACCGGCGCCCAACUGACGCUGAAGCACGAAAGCGUGGGUAUCGA
rnacentral:rRNA from 1 species